GUAGGUGAACCUGCGGAAGAUCA
rnacentral:rRNA from 1 species